rnacentral:rRNA from 1 species
CGCAUCUGUGCAUGCAGCAUAUCAAUAAGCGGAGGAAAAGAAACUAACAAGGAUUCCCCUAGUAACGGCGAGUGAAGCGGGAAGAGCUCAAAUUUGAAAUCUUAAAGGGUUUCCCUUUACGAAUUGUAGUUUAAAGAAGUGUUUUCUGUUGAGGUUUUGGUAAAAGUUCUUUGGAAUAGGACAUCAUAGAGGGUGAGAAUCCCGUAUUUGACCUUUACUUUCAACUUUGUGAUACACUUUCAAAGAGUCGGAUUGUUUGGGAAUGCAGUCCAAAAUGGGUGGUAAAUUUCAUCUAAAGCUAAAUAUUGGCGAGAGACCGAUAGCGAACAAGUACCGUGAGGGAAAGAUGAAAAGAACUUUGAAAAGAGAGUUAAACAGUACGUGAAAUUGUCAAAAGGGAAGCGUUUGACACCAGUGUUGUUUUUCUGAAAAUCAAUUAAAGAACUGUUUAUGCUAAGUUGUUUAGACUUUAUCAGCUAUCUGCUUUAGUUUUGAGCUUUUCUUUAAUGCACUUUUCAGUUAACAAGUCAACAUCAAUUUCUUUUGCUGUAAAAAAGCUUGAGGAAGGUGGCUUGAGAUUCGUCUUAAGUGUUUAUAGCCUCUUGCCUAUGCAGUCGGAGAGAUUGAGGUCUGCAGCGUAGAUCCUUCGGGGCUAAAUGCAUUUGUGCUAAGUUAUAGCAUUUUAUAGACAACUUGUUGACUAUGAUUUGUCUUGUAGCUUACUCGCUUAUGUUAUUUUACCUACGCUUAGGAUGUUGAAUCUGUGCGAGACUAC